rnacentral:rRNA from 1 species
AAGCUGAUCAGCAUGCCGCGUGAGUGAUGAAGGCCUUCGGAUUUGUAACCUGUUUUUGCCGGGAAAAUAAGGACCGGACCAGUACGGGGAUGAACGUACCGUUUCAUUGCAGAACGCCUGGCUCCAUGACAGGGGCCGCGGUUAUACGGAAUUUCCGGGCGUUAAGGGGAUCUAUUGGGUUUGAAGAGUGCGGAGGCGAAUCCNCUAAGCUUAGGCUGAAAGACGCCACCCGGACUUUUCGUGUGAAUUUGAUGCGAAAGGGCUUGACUUCGCUUUUAGGUAGGGGGAAUGUAACUUUUUGUGGUGAAAUGCAUAUUUUUUAAAUGCUCACCCACUCCG